rnacentral:rRNA from 1 species
AGUGAACGCUGGCGGUAGGCCUAACACAUGCAAGUCGAACGGCAGCACAGUAAGAGCUUGCUCUUACGGGUGGCGAGUGGCGGACGGGUGAGGAAUACAUCGGAAUCUACUUUUUCGUGGGGGAUAACGUGGGGAAACUUACGCUAAUACCGCAUACGACCUACGGGUGAAAGCAGGGGAUCUUCGGACCUUGCGCGAUUGAAUGAGCCGAUGUCGGAUUAGCUAGUUGGCGGGGUAAAGGCCCACCAAGGCGACGAUCCGUAGCUGGUCUGAGAGGAUGAUCAGCCACACUGGAACUGAGACACGGUCCAGACUCCUACGGGAGGCAGCAGUGGGGAAUAUUGGACAAAGGGCGCAAGCCUGAUCCAGCCAUACCGCGUGGGUGAAGAAGGCCUUCGGGUUGUAAAGCCCUUUUGUUGGGAAAGAAAAGCAGCAGGUUAAUACCCCGCUGUUCCGACGGUACCCAAAGAAUAAGCACCGGCUAACUUCGUG